rfam:Trichobilharzia regenti genome assembly, scaffold: TRE_scaffold0011446
AUCCAGAUGACGAGUCUCAAACAGGACGAAAUGCGCAUCCUGGAU